GACCGGCGUGCCUUUCCCGUUGAGUCUUAAUUGAGAGCACGCGGACGAUGUCGGCUACAGUGUCACCACACACAACCAUUUAAAACGGUACACCAUGCAGUUGAACUGCAGUCACCUCUGGGCUAUGGAGUGAGACUGGAACUGAGAAAAUCUCGGAAAGGAAGCGAGGUACGGAAACAAGGAAGAUAUAAAGCAGCCUAGUGACUAGAAUGCAUGCAGGGUUUCGCGAUCGCCGUCAGCGUCAUCGUCAUACUUCAUCCCAGCCCUGGAAUCUGCACAGGCCGCAGUUGAGCUUGGCCCACAACGCAGCAGGCGCGCUUCACGAAUGCGUGCACCCAUGGACCACACAGUAGAGAAAGAUCAAUGGGUUUCUGCAGGCAAUAAGACGGUUCCACCUCAUUGUCAUGUUUGACUCCAGAAGAUGUAGGAGAUUGAUCGGCGAUGUGCCUAGCAGCUUAAUUUUUUAAAUGUUUUACAAAAAAGAGGAAAAUGAACUGUCAAAAAUAAAAAUACAUUAUUAGUGCCCUGCAGCAAGUGAC